rnacentral:rRNA from 1 species
CUGCAUGGCUGUCGUCAGCUCGUGUCGUGAGAUGUUGGUUAAGUCCCGCAACGAGCGCAACCCUUGUCAUUAGUUGCCAUCAUUUGGUUGGGCACUCUAAUGAGACUGCCGGUGACAAACCGGAGGAAGGUGGGGAUGACGUCAAGUCCUCAUGGCCCUUAUGGGUAGGGCUUCACACGUCAUACAAUGGUCGGUACAGAGGGUUGCCAACCCGCGAGGGGGAGCUAAUCCCACAAAGCCGAUCGUAGUCCGGAUCGCAGUCUGCAACUCGACUGCGUGGAGUCGGAAUCGCUAGUAAUCGCGGAUCAGCAUGUCGCGGUGAAUACGUUCCCGGGUCUU